rnacentral:tRNA from 1 species
GCGGAAGUGGCGGAAUUGGCAGACGCACCAUCUUGAGGGGGUGGCGCCGUGAGGCAUGUGGGUUCAAGUCCCACCUUCCGCACCA